AGUGGGAUAGCUGGGUCAAAUGGUGAGUCCAUUCCAAGUUUUCUAAGAAAUCUCCAUAUUGCUUUCCGGAGUGGUUGCACCAAUUUGCACUGCCACCAGCAAU
rnacentral:pre_miRNA from 1 species